UGUUAUUUCCCUGUUUAAAGACUAGAAGAAUUAAAUGGUAUACAUAGGCCUACUUCUACAGUUUCUUCCCACAAAUACUCAAAUAAAAACAUGUUUUUUUAUUUUUACUUGUAACUGAACUGACCAAACAAAACAAGUGAAAGUGCCUUUUCCAACUAGCAACUGAUAAUUAAGGUCUUACAUAUAUUUUUUAUUUGCCUCUGUUGUGGCCUAACCUGUUGUCAUUUCCUGUGGUUCUUAGGUUGUACCAUGUAUUUCAUGUUUAUAAACACUUUUCAAAAGAUUUAACCAAGGAUAACAAAACAUUUUUGAACAUUUUCAUUGUGGCCAUAUUUAAUACUUGAAAAAAUGUACUUGGUUGAGUAUACUGUCA